rnacentral:rRNA from 1 species
GAUCCUGGCUCAGAAUCAACGCUGGCGGCGUGCCUCAGACAUGCAAGUCGAACGCGAAAGUCCCCUUCGGGGGAUGAGUAGAGUGGCGCACGGGUGAGUAACACGUAGGUAAUCUACCUUCGGGUGGGGAAUAACCCAGGGAAACUUGGGCUAACACCGCAUAAUGCAGCGGCACCACAUGGUGACAGUUGUUAAAGCGGGGGAUUUUAGGACCUCGCGCCUGAAGAGGAGCCUGCGGCAGAUUAGCUAGUUGGUAAGGUAACGGCUUACCAAGGCGACGAUCUGUAACCGGCCUGAGAGGGCGGUCGGUCACACUGACACUGACAUACGGGUCAGACUCCUACGGGAGGCAGCAGUCGGGAAUUUUGGGCAAUGGGCGAAAGCCUGACCCAGCAACGCCGCGUGAAGGAUGAAAUCCCUCGGGAUGUAAACUUCGCAAGAUUGGGAAGAAUUAGUAGGGGUUAAUACCCCCUAUGAUGACGGUACCUUUUGUAAGCUCCGGCUAACUCCGUGCCAGCAGCCGCGGUAAUACGGGGGGAGCAAGCGUUGUUCGGAUUUACUGGGCGUAAAGGGCGCGUAGGCGGUCAGCACAAGUCAGUUGUGAAAUCUCCGGGCUUAACUCGGAAAGGUCAACUGAUACUGUGCGACUAGAGUGCAGAAGGGGCAACUGGAAUUCUCGGUGUAGCGGUG